rnacentral:rRNA from 1 species
UACAGAGGAUGCAAGCGUUAUCCGGAAUUACUGGGCGUAAAGCGUCUGUAGGUGGCUUUUCAAGUCCGCCGUCAAAUCCCAGGGCUCAACCCUGGACAGGCGGUGGAAACUACCAAGCUGGAGUACGGUAGGGGCAGAGGGAAUUUCCGGUGGAGCGGUGAAAUGCGCAGAUAUCAGGAGGAACACCGGUGGCGAAGGCGGGUCUCUGGGCCGAUACUGACGCUGAGGAGCGAAAGCGUGGGGAGCGAACAGG